rnacentral:lncRNA from 10 species
CAGUCUCAGCCUCUUCCGCCCUUUCAUGUUGAUGAAGCCUGCUGCUGUGCUGUGAGCCACCCUCAGGAGAGCCUCCAGCAAACAGCCAGCGAGGGCCCGCGGCCCUCAGGCGAAGCCUCCAGCAAACAGCCAGCCAGGACCCACGGCCCUCAGGAGAACAGCCAGCCAGGACCCGCGGCCCUCAGGAGAACAGCCAGCCAGGACCCGCGGCCCUCAGGAGAACAGCCAGCCAGGACCCGUGGCCCUCAGGAGAACAGCCAGUGAGGACCCGCGGCCCUCAGGAGAAGCCUCCAGCAAACAGCCAGCCAGGACCCACGGCCCUCAGGAGAACAGCCAGCCAGGACCCGUGGCCCUCAGGAGAACAGCCAGUGAGGACCCGCGGCCCUCAGGAGAAGCCUCCAGCAAACAGCCAGUCAGGACCCGCGGCCCUCAGGAGAACAGCCAGCCAGGACCCGCGGCCCUCAGGAGAACAGCCAGCCAGGACCCGCGGCCCUCAGGAGAACAGCCAGCCAGGACCCGCGGCCCUCAGGAGAACAGCCAGCCAGGACCCGCGGCCCUCAGGAGAACAGCCAGCCAGGACCCGCGGCCCUCAGGAGAACAGCCAGUGAGGACCCGCGGCCCUCAGGAGAAGCCUCCAGCAAACAGCCAGUCGGGACCCGCGGCCCUCAGGAGAACAGCCUUGGGGAACCCCAACAACCCCUGCCAAGCCACUGAGCGAGCUCGUAAGCAACUUCUGCCCCAGUUGAGCCUUGAGAUGACUGCAGUCUCAGCUGAUUCCUGACAGCCUUGAGGGAGACCCUACACUGCAGAGCUCAUGCCACGAUUCCUGACCCACAGAUACCAGGAGAUAACCAUCUACUGUUUAACCCACUAAGGUUUAGGGCAAUUUGUCACACAACAAACAUGAAUACAGUGUAUUCUAUUUUUGAUACAGGACUGAAUUUUAUUUUCGAAUAUCUCAUUUGGAAGCAAUGCAUCUGUAUUCAUAAAAUAAAGUGGGGUAUAGAAAUGCUCUAGAUUGUCUGCAGCAGACUUUCAUAUUGAACUAAUUAAUAAGCUCAUAAAAUUAAGUUAGAAAAACUUGAAUAACAAUGGACUUAAAAUUCAGCUGAGGCCAGGCAUCGUGGCUCAUACCUGUAACCUCAGCACUUUGGGAGGCCAAAGUGGGAAGACUGUUUGAGCCCAGGAAUUCAAGACCACCCUGGGCCAUAUAGUGAGACCCUGUCUCUAUAAAAUAAAAAAAUUAAAAAUUUUAA